GAUGAACGCUGGCGGCGUGCCUAAUACAUGCAAGUCGAGCGAACAGACGAGGAGCUUGCUCCUCUGACGUUAGCGGCGGACGGGUGAGUAACACGUGGAUAACCUACCUAUAAGACUGGGAUAACUUCGGGAAACCGGAGCUAAUACCGGAUAAUAUAUUGAACCGCAUGGUUCAAUAGUGAAAGACGGUUUUGCUGUCACUUAUAGAUGGAUCCGCGCCGCAUUAGCUAGUUGGUAAGGUAACGGCUUACCAAGGCAACGAUGCGUAGCCGACCUGAGAGGGUGAUCGGCCACACUGGAACUGAGACACGGUCCAGACUCCUACGGGAGGCAGCAGUAGGGAAUCUUCAGCAAUGGGCGAAAGCCUGACGGAGCAACGCCGCGUGAGUGAUGAAGGUCUUCGGAUCGUAAAACUCUGUUAUUAGGGAAGAACAAAUGUGUAAGCAACUAUGCACGUCUUGACGGUACCUAAUCAGAAAGCCACGGCUAACUACGUG
rnacentral:rRNA from 1 species